ACUGACUUUAUGUUGCUGUAAAAUGAAGCACAUCUGACAAACUAUUUCAAUCAUACUACAUCAGGAUUGAAUGUAAUCACUCAUCCUUACUCGUGAAAUGUAUUUGAUUAUUGUGAAUCUUAUCGACUUUAAACUGCUGUAUGAGGUAUUAUAUGUAAUUGUUUGGUUACUGGGUUUGAUUACUAUAAAAUAAACACAUAAAAUUUCUUUCACAAGUUGUUAUUCUUUAGUCAAGAUUGGGGUUCCUGAUAAAGUGCGCUCUAUAUAAGCUUUUUUUUUUUGGGUAUUUUUGCGAUUUUGAUUAUGAUUUUUUAUGGUUUGGAGUUGUGAUUAGGUGAGAAGGUAAGAAGGGUUUGGGAGCUGCGCUUGAUUAUGCAGAAGAGGCUUAAUUUUCCAGAAGGUUAACAACAAUAGUGCGGUCUUUGCGCUAUUGCUCAGUGUGGGUCUCUUCGUUACAAGCUUCUUGGGGUUGCUCUGCUGUUAGAAGGGUUUAUUUGAGGAAUGUUUUGGGUUCAUCUAGAGUUUGCCACUCGACUGCCAUCCCUGCUGCCCCACCAUAUCUCGUGCUCCUCCCCGCAACUUAGUUUUCUAUUGUAAAAUAAUCGAAGUAGUGUUGUAGUGUUGAGCUAGUUGAUUAUUUUAAUUAUUAGGUGAUAAUUAUUAGCUUUGUUUUCUACUGUAAAAUAUUUUUUAUUUUAAUUAUUAGGUGAUAAUUGAACUUUGAUGAUUGUA